GGCUUGAUGGUCUAGAGGUAUGAUUGCUGCUUCGGGUUAUAAUCACGCCCGCACGCGGUUAGCUUGUCUUGAUUGUAGCAGGUCCCGGGUUCGAAUCCCGGUCAAGCCC